AACCGCCGUAUACCGAACGGUACGUACGGUGGUGUGAGAGGACAGAUAGUCGGCGAAGCCGACUAUCUUCCUACUCGAU
rnacentral:ncRNA from 1 species